rnacentral:lncRNA from 1 species
GGCCGAAGGACUCAAAAUAGGGUUUAGUGCCUGUGACAGGGGCCGGGACUGGGCCAUCUGCUCAGGUGGAUUUGGAGACCCCAGCAGUCCAGGCUAGGGCCCUGUCCACUCCCACUUGCCUGGCCCAGGUUCCCAAGCCCUGUGCAUCUAGGAGAGGUUCUGCUCUUCCUCAACGCAGGAUGGCCAUGACUUUGCAGGGCCUGGAAAGGGAUGUACUCUGGCUUGGGCCUUGCUGGGGACCAGACCCAGCCUUUGUAUAUAACCCCACUGGUGGGUCACACCUUCGCCUUUCCAGUUCCUGGAUGAUGAGGGAUCUGGCCCUAGUGGAAGCCGAGGAAGCUCCAGCGAAGACAUACAGAUGGGUCCAGACUGGGACUUCUGCAGGAGCUGCUCUAUCCUCACCCUCUUUGUGCUGCAAGGCUCUGCCGAUGAUUUCACUUGCCAAGAGAGUUCUACUGGAAAAGAAUGAAAAGCCACUUGGUGAGGUGGUGCAUGCCUGUCAUCCCACACACUGGGAGACUGAGGCAGGAGGAUUGAAAGUUUGAGCCCAGCCUGGGCAAUUUAGUGAGACCCUAACUCAGAAAAAGUAAACAGGGCUAGGGCUGUAGCUCCAUGGUAGAGUCCUCGCCUGGCAUGGCAUGCAUGGGGCCCUGGGUUCCAUCCCUAGCACCGCAAAAACAAACAGAUAAACAUUGCUAAAUUGAAGAGAAAUGCUAGCUGGUUGAGUGGAUGGCCGGAUAUUCUUUUUUUUUUUUUUUGGUACCGGGGAUCGAACUCAGGUCCUUGCACUUGCACAGCAGGCGGCAAAACCACUGAACUAAAUCCCCAGUCC